rnacentral:lncRNA from 1 species
AUAUAAGGCGUUAUGUGUCAAGCGAAGAUUAUGUAUAUGACUUAAAAAACCACGAGAAUAUAUUUGACAGUAAAACUCUUGCUAUUAAUAUUAAACCGAUAUGGAGUAUUACAGGACAUAGUAAUUCAAUAGAUGGGAUAUCAUUAAUUGACAAUAAUAAAUUAGUGACGGUGUCACAUGAUUGUUUAUUAUCAUUAUGGGAAAUCGAAAGUAGAAAAAAUAUAAGUAGUGUAAAUUUAAACAAUGCUCUAUUAUGUUUAAGUUAUAAUAAAAAAAGUAAACAUGCGUGUGUUGGUAUGACAAAUAUAAAAGAUAAUAUUGUAUUAAUUAAUUUGGAAGGGGUAAAAUUAAUAUUGCAGAUAAUUUAGUAAGUAAUUGUACAUCUAUAUUUUCUAUAAAUUAUUUUGAUUUGAAUAAAUUAGUUUAUGGUAGUAAAGAUGGUUCUAUAUGUUUAAUGGAUUUGGAUGCUAAAAAAAAUAUAUUUCGAUAUGAAGAAAUAAAUGAUAGUAUAAAUUACUGUAAUUAUAACAAGAGGCAUAAUAUACACAUUAUUAGUACAUAUAAAGGUGGUAGCGAUUGCUUAAUAAAAAAAUUUGAUAUGCGUAUGUUUGGUAGUAGUAGUAGUAGUAGUAGGAGUAGUAGCAUAAGUGUGACUAAGCCAUUCGAAGUAUAUGUAGGGCAUACGUCAAGUGUUCGUUCUUUAUGUUUUUCAAAUAAAUAUAAAAAUUGUUUUACAUCUUGCUCGGAUAAUGGUAGUGUAAAAUUAUGGGUUUCAGAUAAUUUAUUAGGAGAGUUGAAUGUUCAUAAUAGUAGCGACGAUAUACAUUCUGCUGUUAUUAAUGGUAAAUUAAAUACUUCAUUAAAUUUAAGUUCUAAGUUAAACAAACAUUCUACUAAUAAACUUGCAAGAAACAGUAAAAACUUAUUUACACUAAAUAAAGAUAAAAUUAGUUCUAAUUAUAGAUCAUCGUCCAUUGUAUCUGAGUGUAAUUAUAAGAAAUCACCACAUAUUAUAAAAUUGAAUAAGGUUGAUAAUAGUUCUACUACUGCUACUAUUCUUAGAAGAAAAUAUGAACAAAACAAUUUAAGUAAUAAACAUAUAUUACAACAACAAAACAAGUUAAGAACAAUAACACCUAACGUGCGUUGUAGUAACACCAAUUAUUUAAAAUUAUCUGUUUCUGAUAUUAAGGAAAGUAUAAUGAAUAAGCCUAAAAAACAACAAGAUGUGAAUAAAAAAGAUAGUAAUAUAUUACUGAAUAGUAUACCCAGUAGUAAUAGGAAUAAUAACAUAAAAAAAAAAAAUUUGAAAAUACCAACAUCAUAUGUAAAUAUGAAUAUGUCAGAUUUAAGAGUAACAUCAGUAAGAAACACUGAUGGCAACCUAAAGUUGCAAUCGUUACAACAGGUAAAUAUUUAUAAUAAACAUACUUCUGUUACAGAUAAGUAUAAAAAAAAAGAUUUUUCAAAUUCCAGUUUAGUGUAUAGUGAUAUACGUGGUAGAGCAAAUAAAAACAAACAUGAGACUCACAAAAACUUUAAUGGGUAUAAUAAUAAUACAGAUUAUUCUAUUAUAAGCUCGCCAUAUCAAUUAAUUAAAAUGAUUGAUCCUGUGUUAGUUGAUGAUGAAGGUGCUUUAGAAAAGUUAAAAAUACAAACAGAAGGAAAAAUAAGUAUAAGACCUGCUAAUUUGUCUAUGUCAAAACAUAGAAGUAAAGUAUCUUCGAUGGCCUGGUUGGACGAUAUGCUUUUUACAGCAUCAUGGGACCAGACGAUUAAGUGUUGGCCCAUAGGCAAGCACAUCUCCGCGUGACACACGCUAUUAAAAUAGUAUAGUGUGCAUUCUUAACUUUCCUGAUAUGAAGUGAACGCGUAGAGAUGCCUAAACAAACACAUACGGUGUGUUAAAAUGUGACGUUGUGCNNNNNNNNNNNNNNNNNNNNNNNNNNNNNNNNNNNNNNNNNNNNNNNNNNNNNNNNNNNNNNNNNNNNNNNNNNNNNNNNNNNNNNNNNNNNNNNNNNNNUUUUUUUUUUUUUUUUUUUUUUUUUUUUUUUUUUUUUUUUUUUUUUGGCAUAGUUUUAUUACUUUUAAGCAUUUAAUCCAUUUAUUAUAAUUCUUAUCGCAUGUGAUUAAUACAAAAUGAUUAACUCAUUAGUGUAAGUUUUAUUUUUUAUUUUUUAUUUUUUAUUUUAUUUUUUAUUUUAUUUUGUUGUUAAUUUUGAUUUAUUCUAAGUUUGUAUAUUGUUAAUUAUAUAUGUAUGUAUAAAAACAAGUGACACACACGAGAAGUCGAUAUAAAUAUAUGUGUGCGUUUUUACAAUUUAAGAUUUUUAAUAAUAUAAAGAAUAGUAAUACGCAUAACACACGUUAAAAAAAAAAAAAAAAGAAAAAAAAAAAAAAGUUAUAAAAUAAAAAAAAAGAAAAAAAAAAAAAAGUUCUUAAA